CACGUAGGGGACGAGCGUUGUCCGGAUUCAUUGGGCGUAAAGCGCGCGUAGGCGGCUCGGAAAGUCGGUCGUGAAAUGCCGGGGCUCAACCCCGGGACUGCGUCCGAUACUCCCGAGCUGGAGGCAGGUAGGGGAGAUCGGAAUUCCUGGUGUAGCGGUGAAAUGCGUAGAUAUCAGGAGGAACACCGGUGGCGAAGGCGGCUCUCUGGACCACAACUGACGCUGAGGCGCGAAAGCUAGGGGAGCAAACAGG
rnacentral:rRNA from 1 species